rnacentral:rRNA from 1 species
CGAAGGUGCAAGCGUUACUCGGAAUUACUGGGCGUAAAGCGUGCGUAGGUGGUGAGUUAAGUCUGUCGUGAAAGCCCCGGGCUCAACCUGGGAAUGGCGAUGGAUACUGGCUCGCUAGAGUGCGGUAGAGGAGAGUGGAAUUCCCGGUGUAGCAGUGAAAUGCGUAGAGAUCGGGAGGAACAUCAGUUGCGAAGGCGGCUCUCUGGACCAGCACUGACACUGAGGCACGAAAGCGUGGGGAGCAAACAGGAUUAGAUACCCUGGUAGUCCACGCCCUAAACGAUGCGAACUGGACGUUGGGAGCAAUCAGGCUCUCAGUGUCGAAGCUAACGCGUUAAGUUCGCCGCCUGGGGAGUACGGUCGCAAGACUG